CCUACGGAUGGCAGCAGUGGGGAAUAUUGCGCAAUGGACGCAACCCUGACGCAGCAACGCCGCGUGAGCGAUGAAGGUCUUCGGAUCGUAAACCUCUGUAAGCAGGGAAGAACGAUGAGUCUGUUACUCCGGAAUGAGUUUACGGUACCUACGAGGCAGGAACCGGCGAACUCCGUGCCAGCCGACGCGGUAAUACGGAGGGUGCGAGCGUUGAGCGGGAUGACUGGGCGUAAAGGGCGCGGAGGUGGUCUGUCAAGUUACGGGUGAAAUGCCCGGGCUCAACGUGGGAACUGCCAUUGAAACUGGCAAGCUUGAGUGUAGGAGAGGUAAGUGGAAUUCCCGGUGUAGGGGUGAAAUGCGUAGAUAUUGGGAAGAACAUCAGUGGCGAAGGCGAUUAUCUGGACUGUAACUGACACUGAGGAGCGAAAGCGUGGGUAGCAAACAGGAUUAGAUACCCCAGUAGUC
rnacentral:rRNA from 1 species